ACAAUAUAUAUAUAAAAUUAUCAAUUUUGAGAUAUUUUAGUUACUGGUCAAAUAAUAUUAAAAAAUUUUAAAUUUUAAUUUUCAAAUACUUUUAAUAGUAUAGAUUAAGUGUAACGGAACCGAUCGUCGAUUUAAAAGCCGCAUCAUCGAAAACAACUUGGUAGUAUAGCAACCGGACAAUAUAUAUAUAUAUAUAUAUAUAUAUAGAGAGAGAGAGAGAGAGAGAGAGAGAGAGAGAGUUCUAUUACUAUAUAUAUUAUCGAUAGUGAUCAAAUGUUUUGUGCUAUCGAAUUUUUUGUUAUUAAAUUUAUCUCUUUGACUAAUUUUAUCUAUUAUAUUAUACUAUUAAACUAAUCAUUCACUCAAUUUUAGAUAAUCACUAUUAUUCUAAACGCGCAUCUUUUCAUCUAAGAAUCAAAAAUCGCUUAGUACUAUAAUAGUAUAGUAGUCUAAUUAUAUAUAUAUAUAA
rnacentral:lncRNA from 1 species